rnacentral:rRNA from 1 species
CACGUAGGGGGCGAGCGUUGUCCGGAUUUAUUGGGCGUAAAGAGCUCGUAGGCGGCUAAGUAAGUCGGGUGUGAAAACUCCAGGCUCAACCUGGAGACGCCACCCGAUACUGCUUUGGCUAGAGUCCGGUAGGGGAGCAUGGAAUUCCUGGUGUAGCGGUGAAAUGCGCAGAUAUCAGGAGGAACACCAGUGGCGAAGGCGGUGCUCUGGGCCGGAACUGACGCUGAGGAGCGAAAGCGUGGGGUGCGAACAGG